CGGUAAUAUGUAUGGUGGGCAAGCGUUAUCCGGAUUUAUUGGGGCGUGAAAGCGAGCGCAGGCGGUUUUUUUUAGUUUUGAUGUGAAAGCCCUCGGCUUAACCCAGGAAGCGCAUCGGAAACUGGGAAACUUGAGUGCAGAAGAGGACAGUGGAACUCCAUGUGUAGCGGUGAAAUGUGUAGAUAUAUGGAAGAACACCAGUGGCGAAGGCGGCUGUCUGGUCUGUAACUGACGCUGAGGCUCGAAAGCAUGGGUAGCGAACAGGAUUAGAUACCCUGGUAGUCCAUGCCGUAAACGAUGAAUGCUAGGUGUUGGAGGGUUUCCGCCCUUCAGUGCCGCAGCUAACGCAUUAAGCAUUCCGCCUGGGGAGUACGACCGCAAGGUUGAAACUCAAAGGAAUUGACGGGGGCCCGCACAAGCGGUGGAGCAUGUGGUUUAAUUUGAAGCAACGCGAAGAACCUUACCAGGUCUUGACAUCUUUUGAUCACCUGAGAGAUCAGGUUUCCCCUUCGGGGGCAAAAUGACAGGUGGUGCAUGGUUGUCGUCAGCUCGUGUCGUGAGAUGUUGGGUUAAGUCCCGCAACGAGCGCAACCCUUAUGACUAGUUGCCAGCAUUUAGUUGGGCACUCUAGUAAGACUGCCGGUGACAAACCGGAGGAAGGUGGGGAUGACGUCAAAUCAUCAUGCCCCUUAUGACCUGGGCUACACACGUGCUACAAUGGAUGGUACAACGAGUUGCGAGACCGCGAGGUCAAGCUAAUCUCUUAAAGCCAUUCUCAGUUCGGACUGUAGGCUGCAACUCGCCUACACGAAGUCGGAAUCGCUAGUAAUCGCGGAUCAGCACGCCGCGGUGAAUACGUUCCCGGGCCUUGUACACACCGCCCGUCACACCAUGAGAGUUUGUAACACCCGAAGCCGGUGGCGUAACC
rnacentral:rRNA from 2 species